CCCCCCCCCGCCCCCGCCCCGGGAGGGUAUGCGGGUGCCCUCGUCCAGGAGCGUCCUACCGGCUCCCCCGGCUUUGGGCCGAGAGCAACCUGAGCUCUCUGAACUAAAGCUCCCACAUGGGCUCUGUACAGCAAAUGGAUAUGACUAAGGUUAAAUCUCAGGACUCCUCAGUCUACCUCAAGCCAUUCCUGAUUUACCUGGGGACGGUGGCACACGAAUGCUGUCUGUUCACCCUGUCUCACUCUGGAGCCCUUCCUGCGCACACAGGUGCCUGGUAUUGUCCCCCACAAGACUGCAAAUGCAAGAGGAGACCUGUGCAGGAGGGGACAGAAGACGGCCUUGGACUCUCCUGGCACUCAAUGCUUUGAGGUAUCUUCAGGGAAAGCCUCGGAGAGCAGGAUGUCUGGGCUGACAUUUUCCUCUGUCUCAGACUGAGGCGACUUGCUCCAAGGGUGCUACUGUGCAAGGUCACACAGGACAUCCGUGCCAUCCCGGCCCUGCUAGUUCACCGGGUGGCAUCAGGCGCGCUCCCUCAUCUCCCUCAUCUCCCUCCCGGCCUUCACGUGGAGGACCUCGGCCCCUCUGCACCUCUCAAGAAUUUCCAUUGCAUUUGAGGCUCUGCAGCUAGAUCAAGCUCUACAUGCAGAUUUUCCCCAGUGUGCAUGUGAACAAACAGGAGACCCACAGAAAGGAAGCUGUGUUUCUAAUCAAGCUUUCAUCUCGAUUCCCCGCUGCUCCCGUUGAUAGUCCCAGCAUAAAUGAUUGAGUCGUACCUGGCAUAUAAUUUGCACCCGCUUAACAUGAUUACAGUAAUAUUUCACUGAAAGGGGGAAUUUUUAAAAAUAAAUUGCAAAAGUGCACAUUUAAAAACAGUUGAUGGCAGAAUAGAUAUUCACUUUGGCUUCAUUAACAGAAAAUAAGAGGAAAUGAGUCAAGUGAUUCAGCACCCAAUGUUGUCCUUUUGCAUGCGAGUUUCCACAAUUAGCAGCAGCUGUAUAGGCUUAGGAGCAACUGUUACUUCCAUUGAGAAUGUGGUACAAUAAUCUUAGAACCUGAAACCACUGUCCUCAGACCAUACAUUCCUAACUUGGGUCAGAUAUUUUCUCUUUGUUCUGUAGAUGCCUGGAACUCAGUCUCUCCUCAGGAAUACUUGUCUAAGGUGAUGUAAGUAUGGAUAGUUGAGUCAUUGGGAUCAGCACUAAGAACGAACAGUACCGUUAACAGACAUCUGUGUUUUCUAUGAUUGGUCUGUGAUUUAUUUUCCAUUGCGAAUGAUUUUCUUAGUUUGGUUUUGGUUUUGUAAGUGUCUUUAUUAAUUUAAAAGUACACAGAGCUAUAAUUGAGACGCCUUUAAUCAAUAAGCAAGUUGAUAUUUCCCAUCAGAGCAAGUCUCUCGAAAUAAGACAAAAUGUUAAGUACAAAUCAGCUGUACUUGUUAAUCCUUGAUUAUACUAUGAUUCCUUUCCUUAAAGAUUAUUUUCAUAUAUUUUUGGCAUAGAUUCUUUCUCAUACACGCUUGCCCUUGGGCCUUUUUGACCACACUUGGCCCCUCCUGAACCAGUCUAUCGGGAUUUUACCUAUUACUCUUCUGUCUACAUAAGGAAAUGAUUUUCUUUUCCCCCUGCUGGGAUCACUUUAGAGACCCCUACCCUUGCUUCUUUGCAUGGUCUCUUUCCUGGAAAUUCUGUUUCACACGAAGAAGUGUCUGGAUUAUGGCUCCUGCUCCAACUUCAUCGUAUUCCAGUAGGUUGUUUUGCAUUUGAAGUUCACAAGGGAGCUUCUUUCUAUGGAAAGCACUAAAUGGCAAGCUAGCAGUUUAUAGGCAUUUUUUUGAUACUCAAAAUUUGAGAUUAUAUGAGAUAAUAGGAAUUUUUUCUAUAAGAUUUAAUUAACAGA
rnacentral:lncRNA from 1 species